GUACAAAGCCAAUAAAGACACUUAUUCAUAAAGUAGUAGAAAAUGUUAAUGGUAUCAUCUUUGAAAGUAGAACUAAUUUCACUUACUGGGAUUCUACUGAAAAAUACUUCACUGGACUAAAAUAUGAGGGUAAAGAAACCUGUGAACACAGGUAUAAAAUUGGAAAUUGAGGAUGAACCAAAUAGAGAAAAUUAAACAACACCUUAUUUGUGGUGGCAGGCAUAAACAAUUUAGUCAAGAAAAAAAUUAGAAGUUAAUGUCUUUAUUACAUAGGUUCCUAGCAAUAAUUAAAUCCCAAAAUUAUUCUGGAAGGGGGGAUUUUCUUCCACUUCCUUCCCGGUGCUCUGAAACUGCAGAUUAGGGAUAAUGGGCUUGAGGAACUUGAACUCACUGGUCCCCGAACCUCCCCGAAGACACACCUCAUACUGGUAGCUCUGGGACAGCGUCCCCGCGCCGCUGACGUCCACCAGGUGGCCCGGAAAGCGGCCCUCGGGCGCCAAGCAGGGGCCCGCAGACGCCGCCCGGCUCCGCCUGCACAGCCGCACCGCCACGAACACCAGCACCGAGAACAGGAAGAGCGACGACACGGACGCCAAGGCGACGACCAAGUAGACGGUGAGCGGGUCGGCCCGCGCCUCGGCCGCCGCCACCUCCGGGAGCGGCAGGUAGGGCUGCGAGAAGCCGUCCACCAGCAGCACGUGCAGCGUGACGCUGGCCGAGCGCGGCGGCUCGCCAUUGUCCCUGACCAGCACCACCAGCCUGUGCUUGACGGCGUCGCGCUCGCUCAGCAGCCGCGCCGUGCGCACCUCGCCGUUGUGCGCCCACACGCCGAACAGCCCGGGCUCCGUGGCCUUGAGCAGCUGGUACGACAGCCAGGCGUUCUGGCCCGAGUCGCCGUCCACCGCCACCACCUUGGUCACCAGGUAGCCCGCCUCGGCCGCCCUGGGCACCAGCUCGGUGCAGGGCGCAGAGCCGUUCUGCGGCGGGUACAGCACGAAGGGCGCGUUGUCGUUGUCGUCCAGCACCAGCACGCGCACCCGCGCCUGGCUGCUGAGCGCGGGCGAGCCGCGGUCGGCCGCGCGCACGCCGAACUCGAACGCCUGCAGCGCCUCGUAAUCCAGGGACCUGAGCGCGAACAGCUGCCCGUUGUCCGCGUUGAUGGACACCAGGGAGGCCAGGGGCAGCUGCGGGUCCGCGGGCGGCAGCAGCGAGUAGGUGACCUGGGCGUUGGCGCCCGAGUCCCUGUCCGUGGCGCUCACGCUGCCGAUGUGCAGGGCGGGGCUGUUGUUCUCGCGGACGCGCAGGGUGUAGGUGGUUUGGCUGAAGGCGGGGGCGUUGUCGUUGACGUCGGAGACCGUCACGGUUAUGUUAUGCUGCGUUUUCAGCCUGGGGGUCCCCAAGUCGGUGACGGUGAUAGUGAUGUUGUAUUGGGCUCUUUCUUCUCUGUCUAGUGCUCUCUUGGUUACCAAGGUGUAAAAGUUCUUGACUGAAGGUUUUAGAAGAAAAGGAAGGUCAUCCUGGAUGGAGGAAACAGUCUUCCCGUUAUCCCCAGAGUCAGGAUCAGAAACACUGAAAACAGCAACUACAAUCUCAGGUGAGUUCUCCAGGAUAGGGCUGGUGAGUGCAGACAUGGUCACUUCUGGGGGAUUAUCAUUUACAUCCACCACCUGGAGGAGAAGAGUGCAUUUUCCUGAAAGGCCUCCCCCAUCUGUGGCCUUGAUGUCCACCUCAUAAGAUUGAACUGUUUCAAAAUCUACUUGUUUUCUCAGUUGAAUUUCUCCUGUUACAGGAUUCACCUCCAAAGUUUUGCUAAUAUCUUCUGAAGGCUGAAAGAGCGUGUAGGCUAUUUUUCCAUAUACUCCGCUGUCUAAAUCUCUGGCAGAGACAAUGACAACCAAGGAGCCUACAUGGCUGUUCUCAGGAAUUUGCACCUUGUAGAUGGGCUGCUCAAACUGAGGGGCGUUAUCGUUGCUGUCCACCACUUCAAUGCGCACCUGAGCGGUCCCAUACCGAGGUGGAGAGCCGCCAUCCAGCGCCGUUAGAGUUAAAACGAUUUCAGGCUCCUCCUCCCUGUCUAGCUCUUCUUCCAACACCAGCUCAGGGUAUAUUCUGCCGUCACUGAGUUUGCGGGUUAGAACCCGGAAAUGGGAGUUGGGGCUGAUUUUAUAGUUUUGAACAUUGUUGCUUCCUACAUCCAAGUCCAGAGCAUUACUCAGAGGGAAUGCAAUUCCUAGAGGACUGUUUUCAGGUAUUCUUAGAAUCAUUUCUCUUUCGGUGAACACGGGAGAAUUGUCAUUUAUGUCUUUCACCCUCAGUUCAGCCUGAAAUAUCUCUAAGGGCUUUUCCAUUAACAGUUGGAAAUAUAACAAGCAAGGGUCAGCUGGACCACAUAGCUCCUCUCGAUCUAGUUUCUCGUUUAUGAGCAAAUCCCCAGUCUGAACCUUGAGCUGCAAAUGCUCUUUGUUCCCCUGAAAAAUGAUCCGAGCCCUGCGGUUGUACAUCUCUGUCAAUCCCAACCCCAAGUCUUUUCCUAGAUUUGCCACAAAGGAGCCUUUCUCCAUUUCUUCCACUACUGAAUAGGGACCUAACUCAGCACCCACCCCAAACAUGCUCAGCAAAACAAAGAAAACUAGGACUUGCCUUUGUCUCAGAUAGCACAUCCAGCCAAUCUCCAUUGCUCUUUCAUGAAAAUUUGGUUUACAGGAGCUUUGUGUAUGUCCAGAAUCCUGGUAGCCUGGUCCUGCAGUCCAGAUAUCAAAACUAUGCCACUAAAUAUAGUUUUAAAGAGAUUUCAGAUUCACGUUUGCUGUGGCCAAGAAAAACGUACUUUAGCUUCCAGGCAAUGUGAAAUUGUUUGGCUGGAUACUGGAGCUGCAUAGGCAAUUCUGUUUUUCAUCAUUUAACCUGCAGCGCCACCAUGUGUUCUCACUGAGUCUUAUAUUUUCCACAAAAUACUCCUAAAUGUACCGAAUAAGUUGUGUAAAAUGUGUUCUGUAAUAUAAAACAAUGAGCUCUAUUUUCAUGUGAUGUGUGUGUGUUCAGAUAGAGCUCUGUGUUGUUGCACAGGAGGAGUACAAAGAUCAAACUGUCACUUAUGUUACUGUUAAAACCUGUUGAGAGUUAAUGAUUAAAUAAAAUAAUUAACAUUUAAGCUGAAAACAAUGUACAUUUAGGAGCAAAAUGUUUUUGAAUUACCAUGGGAACAGUUUCACAAGUAGAUCAUUUUCAUGGUACACAUUACAGAAUUACAAAUGAAUGGACACUGCAAAAUUGCAAUUAGUGACAGUUCUAAAGAUAUUAUUUAACCAAUGCGUUAUUAAAUUGCAUACUUCCUCUUCUUUACAACACCGAAGACUGAGAGCUGUUUUUGCAAUUUUCAAGUUAUUGAAAAAUUAUUUCCCAAAUACAUAGAUCUCAAGAUUAGGCCUGCCAUGCUUUUGGAUUCUUUUAAAAAAUAUAUACAACAAGAAUAAUUUGUUAUAUUUAAAAAGCUUUAAUGACAUAUAACUCACAUACCACACAGUUCAUUUAAAGUGUACAAUUCAGUGAAUUAUAGUAUAUUCACAGAGUAGUACAUCCAUCACCAUAGUCAAUUUUAGAACAUUUUCAUCACCCCUCAAAAUCCAUACGCUUUAGCAUCAACCCUAAUACCCUAUCCCUCCCAUGCUGAGCCCUAAUCAAUAACUAAUUUACUUUCUAUCUCUAUAGAUUUCCCUAUUCUGGACUUUGAUAUGAAUAGAAUAAUUUAAUAUGUGGAGUUUUGUGACUGGCUUCUUUCACUGAGCAUGUUUUCAAGGUUCAAGUUGUAGCAUGUAUCAGUACUUCAUUCCUUUUUAUGGAUGAAUAAUAUUCCAUUGUAUAGAUAUGUAUCACAUUUUGAUUAUCCAUUCGUCUGUUGAUAGACAUUUGGUUUGUUUCCACCUUUUCACUAUUCAGAGUCCUGCUGCUGCAAACAUUCAUAUACAAGAGUUCAUGUGGACAUAAACUUUCAUUUCUCUGGCAGAAUUGCCAGGUCAUAUGGUAGCUCUAUAUUUUCCAAGGUGGCUGCACCAUUUUACAUUCCCAUCAGCUUUGUAUCAGCAUUCCAGUUUUCCCACAUCCUUCCAACAUUGGUUAUCUGACUUUUUGAUUCUACCCACUCUAGUGGGUAUGAAGUUGUAUCACAUGAUUUUAAUUUGCAUUUCUCUGAUGACUAAUGAUGUUGGACAUCUUUUCAUGUGCUUAUUGUCCAUUUGCAUAUCUUCCUUAGAAAACCAUCUAUUCAGAUCUUUGUCCAUUUUAAACUGGAUUAUUUAUCUUUUCAUAAUUGAGUUGCAAGCGUUCUUUGUAUAUCCUAGAUACAAGUCCCUUUCAGAUUUGUAUUUAUUUGUUCAGGCUUUCCAUUUCUAUAAUUUGAAUUGAAUUGCAGUAAGCUUCAUAUCUUUAUCAAUUCAGUGUUUUUCUUAGUAAUUCUUAGAAGUAUGUUAAAUACCUUGUCUGGGAUUAAAGCAUCUAAUCAAUGAGGCCUAAAUUCCUGUUAUAAAGACCUUUAUGUGCUUUCCAUUGGCUACCAGUGGUAUUGCUAGACUGGAUGAUUUUCUUCCAAGCAGCCAAUCUGUGGUAGAUAGAAUAAUGGCUACCCACCCAAAGACAUCCUAAUUCCCCAAAUCUGUAAAUAUGUAUCUUACAUGGCAAAGUUUAUAGAUGUAAUUAAAUUGAAGAUCUUAUGAAGGGAAGAUUAUCCUGGAUUAUCUGGGUGGGAAAAAUUUGUUGGGAAUGGUCAAAAGGAGAUAUGAUUAUGGAAUGAUCUGUUUAAGAGAUACAAUAUUUGGUUUUGACAAUGGAUGAAAGGUGACAUGAGUCAAGUAAUGUAGGCAGCAUCUAGAAGUUGGAAAAGACAAACAGAUUCUCCUCUAGAGCCAACAGAAAGACAUGCACUCCUGCCAACACUUUGAUUUAUCCCAGUGAUACCUAUACCAGACAUGAGACCUAAAAAGCUAUAAGGUAAUACAUUUUUUUUUGUUUUAAGCAACUUUGUGGUAAUUUUUUAUAGCAACAAUGGAAAAAAAUAUGUUACACAAGUAUGGAUAUUCAUGCACCUCACAGCUGAGUCAACAACAAUUUAUCACUCUACAAGAAUAGUUUCCCACAGCAAUUGCUGGAAGAUGUCUGAUUCAGCUCCAGUAAGCCAUCCUUUCAGAAUAAAGUCAUUUAUGACUCUCUAAAUUUUUUGCAGCAUAAUUUUUUUGUGGAGUUGCCAAAGAUGUGGUUAAUUUUAACAGAACAUAGCUGGAGCCUAUCAGUUUUGUUCCUACUAAAUUUCCAGAAUCUCUAAAUUAUUCAGUGAAAAAAAAUCUUCCACAUCAUUGCCUAUACUUCUCUGAAAUUAGUUAUUUCAUUUAAAAUUAAUGCUAGAAUAUGAGGGGCACCUGCGUGGCUCAGUUGGUUAAGCAUCUGACUUCAGCUCAGGUCAUGAUCUUGCAAUCAUGAGUUCAAGACCCCCAUCUGGCUCUCUGCUGUCAGCACAGAGCCUGUUCCCAAUCCUCUGUCUCCUUCUCUCUCUCUCUCUCCCUCUGCCCCUCUCCCAUGCUCCUUCUCCCUCUCUCAAAAUAAAAAAAUAAGCUUUAAAAAAUAAAAUUAAUACUAGAAUAUCAAUUGCUUUCAAAUAAUAGUGUGCUAAAAUAAAUACAGUGUAUUUAAUCUGCAUAAGGGACUUAGAAAAAAUGUAAAUAAUAAAGUGAAUUUCAACUUUCUAAGGAAAAUAAAAAUUUUAUAUUAGGACUGAUAGAAAACAGACUGAAGGGCUAAGUACAAGAAACUCAAGAAACAUAACCAUAAGGUAACUUUAUUCCUUAUUCAGGGCAUUCAUUACUGCAAUAAUGAAUGUGAUAUGUUGAGACGGUACAGGAAAACGAUCAGGCUGUAUUACUCCCAGUGAAGAUUAACUCUGGUGUCUCACCCAGAUAGUAGGUCAGUGCUUCUAUAAGAACUUUGGAUCUACUCGUCCAGAGUAGUAUUUUAGUCUAUAGUAAAGAAACAAGUACAAACUGUAGACUAAAAGCUACAUUUCUACAUAAGGUUCAGUUUAUGGAAUAGAUGGAUUUCACUUUCCUUAGUUAGGAAGACAAUGCUACCAGUUAAUGCCUGCCAUUAUAACACAUGGAUUAAGAACUGGAGUAUUCAGUUAAAACAGACAGAUAUUCAAAUUUCUCCUUUUAUUACUUUAUAAUUGCUAGCAGGUUACUAACCUUUCUAAGCUUCAGUUUUCUCAUAUGUAACUUAGAAAGCUAAAGUUCACUUUAUUACAUACAUUUUUUCUAAGUCCCUUAUUCAGACCUUAGAGUUUGGCAGAGGACUAAAAAGAUAAUGAAUGUAAAGCAUUCUAGUCUACUAUUUUUUUUUCUGUACCCUACUUUGAACUAAAUUAGAAAUCAUGAAUAAGAGCUUUAAAAGAUCAGUUAUAUCAAACUAUACACUUAAGAUCUGUGCAUUUUACUGUCUUACAUAACAUUUUAGUUUUAAAAAAUCUUACUGUUAAAGCCUUAGGAUUGGAUUCCACUGGAGGUAGCACAAAAACUAAAAUGAUGGUGCUGAAAUGAGAUAGAAGUUCUUUUAUCUCUCAAGUAAAAAAAGAAAUUCAGAAGUAGGCACUCCAGGGGUGAUAUGAUGACUCCAUAGUUACCAGGGACCCUCAUUUCUUUUAAGUUUAUUCUACACUGACUGUCUUUGUACAUUAUUUCCAUCCUUAGUGUUGUUCUAUGGUCCAACAUGGCUAAUUGUGUUUCAGCUAUUACUUACACAUUCCAAGCCAUAAGAAGCAGUUAGAGAAGAACAAAAAGGUACCUCUCCCUUUAAAUAGCCUUCUUGGAAAUCUCCUACAACAUCUGUAUAUACAUUCCAUUGGCAAUAACCUAGUGAAAUGCUCCAUUCCAGCUGCCAAGGAGGGAAAAAGUAUUUUUUUUUUUUACUAAACUUGCUAAUGCUCUACAUGUAAUUUGUGAUGUUACUAAGGAAGAAAAAAUAAAUGGAUAUUUGGUGGCCACUGCAUUUACUGUCAUCCAUGCUCAAUGUUUCUCAAAUAGAAAAAGUCCAUUUCACUACUAUGCUAUCUUAUGUCACUGGAUGAACACAAUGUUGCUAUUUUUCCUCCAGUUAACAGCAAUGAAACUUAAUAGAAAGCAAUUAAAAUAAUUAUAUUAAAAUUAACACUACUAUAUGAAUGAAAGGAAGCACAGUUAGUAUAACAUUUAAGAGAAAACAAUAUCAGAGUUAAGAGCUAUGAGAGCAGCUUCCCUGAAUGCGCAGAGUCUGCUUGGGAUUCUCUCUUUUCUGCCCUCUCUCUGCCCCUCCUUCGCAUGCAUGUGUGCACACAUCCCCUCUCUAAGUAAAUUAAAAAAGAGCUAUGAGAGCAGAAUAAAGCAAGAGCCAGAUUCUCACUGUACCAGUUAUUUCCUUCUCCACCAGGCAUACUUCAUGUGUUAGUGUAUUACUGCUUUUAUUUAUCUAAUGAUUUAAAACAAGAAAAGGGAAUACAAUUGAUUGUAUAAAAUUAACUUUCCACUAUUUUUUCCUAAUCCAUUUCUUUUUUCAAGCUCUAUUUAAAAAAUGUUUAUUCCUUUUUGAGGGGGAGGGGCAGGAAGAGAAGGAGACAGAGGAUCCGAAUGGGGCUCCCACAGCAUCCAGCCCUAUUCUGGGCUCCAACUCUGGAGCAGUGAGAUCAUGACCUGAGGGGAAGUUGGGAUGCUCACCCGGGCUACCCAGGUGCCCCAUCCUAAUCCAUUCCUAAACUAUUCCACAGCAACAAUUUGUACAACUAAUGACCUCACCAGUGUUUUGAGGGCAAAAUUUAAGACCAAUCAUCUCAUAGUGAUGAAAAAAAGACUAUUCUUUAUAACAAAGGGGUAAUAUAAAGUAUUUUGCAGGCAAGUUUAGUGUGAUUUAAAAAGUCUUAACGGGUUGCCAGGAAAGCUAUAUCUUGAACUUACCAAUUUUAAAUAUCUGGAAUAUGAAAAACAAUACAAUCACUGAAUACUAAAACCAAAGUCAUUCCUAAAGUUGGCGUUUUCUUCUAUUUCUGGCCCAGGGGAGUGGCCCUGGAAAUUGGGCACAUUUGGCUUGAGGAACUUGAACUCACUGGUCCCCGAACCUCCCCGCAGACACACCUCAUACUGGUAGCUCUGGGACAGCGUCCCCGCGCCGCUGACGUCCACCAGGUGGCCCGGAAAGUGGCCCUCGGGCCCCGAGCAGCGACCCGCAGACGCCGCCCGGCUCCGCCUGCACAGCCGCACCGCCACGAACACCAGCACCGAGAACAGGAAGAGCGACGACACGGACGCCAAGGCGACGACCAAGUAGACGGUGAGCGGGUCGGCCCGCGCCUCGGCCGCCGCCACCUCCGGGAGCGGCAGGUAGGGCUGCGAGAAGCCGUCCACCAGCAGCACGUGCAGCGUGACGCUGGCCGAGCGCGGCGGCUCGCCAUUGUCCCUGACCAGCACCACCAGCCUGUGCUUGACGGCGUCGCGCUCGCUCAGCAGCCGCGCCGUGCGCACCUCGCCGUUGUGCGCCCACACGCCGAACAGCCCGGGCUCCGUGGCCUUGAGCAGCUGGUACGACAGCCAGGCGUUCUGGCCCGAGUCGCCGUCCACCGCCACCACCUUGGUCACCAGGUAGCCCGCCUCGGCCGCCCUGGGCACCAGCUCGGUGCAGGGCGCAGAGCCGUUCUGCGGCGGGUACAGCACGAAGGGCGCGUUGUCGUUGUCGUCCAGCACCAGCACGCGCACCCGCGCCUGGCUGCUGAGCGCGGGCGAGCCGCGGUCGGCCGCGCGCACGCCGAACUCGAACGCCUGCAGCGCCUCGUAAUCCAGGGACCUGAGCGCGAACAGCUGCCCGUUGUCCGCGUUGAUGGACACCAGGGAGGCCAGGGGCAGCUGCGGGUCCGCGGGCGGCAGCAGCGAGUAGGUGACCUGGGCGUUGGCGCCCGAGUCCCUGUCCGUGGCGCUCACGCUGCCGAUGUGCAGGGCGGGGCUGUUGUUCUCGCGGACGCGCAGGGUGUAGGUGGUUUGGCUGAAGGCGGGGGCGUUGUCGUUGACGUCGGAGACCGUCACGGUUAUGUUGUGCUGCGUUUUCAGCCUGGGGGUCCCCAAGUCGGUGACGGUGAUGGUGAUGUUGUACUCGGCCUGGCUCUCUCUGUCCAGGGGUCUCUCUGUUACCAGGGUGUAAAAAUUUUCUAAGGAAGAUUUCAGGAGAAAGGGUAGAUCGUCCUGAAUUGUGCAAUUUAUUUUCCCAUUUUCUUCCGAAUCAAGGUCUGAAACACUGAGAACUGCAACCAUAGCCUCAGGCGAGUUCUCAGGUAUGUGUCUAGUAAAUGCAGACAUGGUGAUUUCUGGGGCAUUGUCGUUCACAUCCAAGACUUGAGUCAGGACGGUGCAUUUUCCAGAAAAGCUGCCAGAAUCUCUGGCCUCAAUAUUGACUUCAUAGAACUGUAUUCUUUCAAAAUCAAGUUGUUUUUUAAGUCGAAUUUCUCCCGUCAUAGAAUUGAUUUCAAAGGUUUUGCAAAUCUGUUCAGAAGCCUGGAAAAGUGAAUAGGAAAUCUCUCCGUUGACUCCUAUGUCUGCAUCCGUAGCAGAGACUGUGACAAUCAGGAAGCCUAUCGGACUGUCCUCGGGAAUUUUCACCCUAUAGAGAGACUGCUCAAAUUCAGGGGCGUUAUCAUUGAUGUCCACGACUUCAAUGUUGAUCUGAGCGAUGCCAGACCUGGGUGGAGAGCCGCCAUCCUGAGCUGUAAGGGUUAACCUGAGCUCAGGUUCCUGCUCUCGAUCUAGCGCUUUAUCCAGCACCAACUCAGGAUAUCUGCUGCCAUCACUGCUCUUGCGGGUGAGGACGCGAAAAUAAGAGUUGGGACUGAUUAUAUAGGUCUCAAUAUUAUUUCGGCCUACGUCCACAUCCUGAGCGUUCUUCAGUGGAAAUGUAGUUCCAGGUGGACUGCUCUCUGAUAUUUUUAGCAACAUAUCUCUGUCUACGAAUACUGGGGAAUGGUCAUUUAUGUCUAUUACUUGUAGCUCAGCUUGAAAAAACUGUAAGGGAUUUUCUAGCAACACCUGGAAACGCAGCACACAGGGGUCUGUGUGACCGCACAAUUCCUCCCGGUCCAGUUUCUCAUUUAGCAACAAAUCUCCAGUCUCCUGAUCCAGCUUCAAAUGUAGUUUGUUCCCUUUGGAAAUAACCCUUGCCCCACGCUUGGAGAGUUCCCUCUGACCCAGACCUAGAUCCUUUGCUAAAUUGGUUACAAAGGAGCUACCCUCGGUUUCCUCCACCACAGAAUAGCGUCCAGGUUCCAUACCCGCCUGAGAUAAGCCCAAGAGGACAAAGAAUAAAACGACUUGCCUUUGUCUGCAAAUGAACUUCCCACUGGCCUCCAUUGUUCUUGUCUGGUAAAGCCUCCCUCCAGGGUGGUUCUGCUGAACUGUAACGACUUCAGUAUCCGAGACUGUGGCUCUGUCACAGGAUAACUCAGAAAUAUUCCAGUGAGUGGUCCUUAUCAAAGGACCCAGUCCUCCUCCAGUGGCAUCCAAGCUUCCCGUGGGCUUCCAGGUUCUGUUGCUUAGUUUUGCCUGUUAAUGGUGCUGCAGCUGCGGUGCUGGUCUGUACCGUCUUAUCCUGCAGCGCCACCAGGCGUCCUCAUAGGAUCUUACAUUUUCUGGGAUGAAAAAUGAUGCAGUAUUCCCAACUCUUGCCUGUUAUGUACUAUACUGAGUCUUACCUUUACUAUCCCUGGACUUUACGGUGCAGACAACUGUCUGAGAGCCAAAAAAGAGAAAUAACACUAGUAAGGACUUUCUACUUUCAAUAACGCUAAGUGAAUUUGGAGCAAAAAGAAAAUAUUUAUGUAACAGCCUGGCUAAGAAGAAAACAUAUAAAAUUAAAAUAUACAACUGGAGGGGUGCCUGAGUGGCUCGUUGGUUGAGCGUCUGACUUCAAGUCAUGAUCUUGUGGUUUGUGAGUUAGAGCCCCACUUUCGGCUCACUGCUGUCAGCACAGAGCCUGCUUCAGAUGCUCUGCCCCUGCCUCUCUCUGCCCCUAUCCUGCUUGUGCUCUCUCUCAAAAUUAAACAUAUAUAUAUAGUAUAUGUAUUAUGUAUAUAUAUAUACACACACACAUACAUAUACAUACACACACACAAUUGGAGUCUGAAGAAAACUUUCAGAGUUAUAUAUUUUUAUUGCCAAGAACUAUGGAAACUGCUAGCUAUGAAACUUGGACAAAUUAUUUAACCUCUCCCAGUUUUCUCACUUGUAGGAUGGAGAUAGUAAUAGUGUAUACCUCAUAGGGCCGCCUUGAGUUUCCUCACUUUACAGAUGAAGAUACUGAGACAGAGAGAGAUUAACUUUACACACACACACACACACACACACACACACACACACACACUAAGCAUGUAAUUUGAUGCCAUCAGGUAGCAGAGUUUACAUGAGUCCAUUGCCAUGACUUGAAAACACCCAAGAUUCAUGUGGUAGAAGAAUGUAUGAGCAGGAUUACUCAGAAAUUAUCAUCUCAAAUGAUGAAACAAGGAAAGGCUGGAGAGUUUAUCUAAGAGAGAUAUAAUCUGUAACUGCAGUGGUGAUUCCACAUCUCAGAUGGAUGUCCUAAUUUCAUUAACUUCCCUUCUUACAGUGUCAAUUGUAAAAACUUUUUAUUAUGAAAAAUUUCAAACCCCAUAAGGAAGAACUGUAUGAUGAAUCUCCAGGUACUCAUCACUAGCUUCAACAGUUCUCAAUAUUUUGCCAUUAUUGCUCACUCUAUCUGCCCAUCAUUUUCCAAUCCCAAACUAAGUUUUCACCCAUAAAUACUUCAUUAUAGAUCUCCAACUUUUAAUACUUAAAAAAAUAAAACAACUAUAAUGCCAUCCCCACACCUAAGAAGUUAGGUUAGCAUUAUUUAAUAUCCACUUAGAUUCAAUUUUCUCUAAUUCUUUCAGUUGUUAUGGUUGUUUGAAUCAAGACCCACCAAGCAUUAUAUUUGCUUGGUAUGUGUCUUAAUUUCUUUCAUUGUGUAGAAUUCCCUCCUCCCUUUUUCCAUUUCAUUGAUUUGUUGGAAAAAGGAUAAUUUUACCCUGACACCAUGAAAACAAUUUAGGAUUUUACUGCCAUGAGGGGUUUUUCUUUUGCCCUUAGACUAUAUCCCAUUAGUAAUUCAUAGUAGCGGUACUAUUUUAAGAGUUACCAGCACUUAGCAUAUAAUACAUUCAGAAUACAGCUAUGUAUAAAUUAUCUGAAUAGUUGUUAAAGAAAAAGCAAUGGCAGAUUAUUAUAGCAAGCAAAACUUCUCAUUAACUUUCCAAAAUCUCUAAGCAAUUUAAUGACAAUUUGUUUCUUUAAUAUGACAUAUUUAAAACUAUUCUUUUUCUUAUAUUUCCCUGAUUCAUCACUGCAAUAUAUUGAAUAGGAAGUUUUAAAAAUUAACUUUAAAAUUAAGGAAGGAAAAUGUGUUUUAAAAGUAGGUAGGGACCACUGUAGAAAAGUUAUUGCAAUGUGAGGAAAAAUAAACUAAUGAAGCAAUCAAACUGAUGUAUUAUUUCUAUUCAGGGUCAUUAAGUUUUCUGUGAUAUGAAGGUCAUAUGUUCAGAUAACAAGGAGAAAACACAAAUGGAUCCUUCAAUAUUUUUUAACUUAAGCUUUGGUCAGAUCACAGCUCUAAUAAUAAUAGUUGAAUAAUUGAUCCAGAAAAGCUGGUUAUAUGUGGGAACAUAUAACCACAGACCACUACACACAUUAUUAUCUCCAAACGUAGAAAACACUCAACAGGUAUACUAACCUGAGAAGAUUCUUCUCCUUAAUUAGGAGAAACUUGCCAGGUGAUAUCUAAUGACAGAAAGCAGUAUAGCAUCAUAGCAAGAUCCCAGAGUCAGACAGAUCUAGGAGAGAUGCUCAGCUCUACCAUUUAUUAGUUGCUGACCCUAGUGAACUCGCUGGGCCUCUAUGAAUAUCUAUUUGCUCAUUUCUAAAACACCUUACAGAUUUACUUCUAAUAUUAAAAGUGUUAAAAUUGUGUAUGAUGCAUAGUAAGCGUUUUUUAAAAAGCUUUAAAAGAUACUAUCUUUACUUCUAAAACUAAGAGUAGGUAUACUACAACACUCCAACUCAGAAAAUAAGAGUAGCAAAAUUUUAAAGACAAAACCAACUUAAAACAUCAUAAACAAGAUUAAUCACGUAAUAGGCUGCAAAAAAAUGCACAAUUGUUUGAGAUAGAAUAUAACACAUAUACAUUGCAUGCUUUGUGGAAGUUUCCUAGGGCUAAAGCUGGAUCCGUUUCUCUGUAAAGAAAUUUACCCUGACUUUAAAUAAUAUUAAAGCACUCCUCUACAGGUAACUCAGGACGAAUUUCAUAAUAGAAAAAUAUUUACAGACACAAUAUGGACAUUUAUGUUCCAUCCCUUAUCAGAAACCCAAAUCAUUCUGAAAUGAGGGAUAUUCUUCCACUUCCUUUCUUGUACUUUGAAACUGCAGAUUAGGGAUAAUGGGCUUGAGGAACUUGAACUCACUGGUCCCCGAGCCUCCCCGAAGACACACCUCAUACUGGUAGCUCUGGGACAGCGUCCCCGCGCCGCUGACGUCCACCAGGUGGCCCGGAAAGUGGCCCUCGGGCCCCGAGCAGCGACCCGCAGACGCCGCCCGGCUCCGCCUGCACAGCCGCACCGCCACGAACACCAGCACCGAGAACAGGAAGAGCGACGACACGGACGCCAAGGCGACGACCAAGUAGACGGUGAGCGGGUCGGCCCGCGCCUCGGCCGCCGCCACCUCCGGGAGCGGCAGGUAGGGCUGCGAGAAGCCGUCCACCAGCAGCACGUGCAGCGUGACGCUGGCCGAGCGCGGCGGCUCGCCAUUGUCCCUGACCAGCACCACCAGCCUGUGCUUGACGGCGUCGCGCUCGCUCAGCAGCCGCGCCGUGCGCACCUCGCCGUUGUGCGCCCACACGCCGAACAGCCCGGGCUCCGUGGCCUUGAGCAGCUGGUACGACAGCCAGGCGUUCUGGCCCGAGUCGCCGUCCACCGCCACCACCUUGGUCACCAGGUAGCCCGCCUCGGCCGCCCUGGGCACCAGCUCGGUGCAGGGCGCAGAGCCGUUCUGCGGCGGGUACAGCACGAAGGGCGCGUUGUCGUUGUCGUCCAGCACCAGCACGCGCACCCGCGCCUGGCUGCUGAGCGCGGGCGAGCCGCGGUCGGCCGCGCGCACGCCGAACUCGAACGCCUGCAGCGCCUCGUAAUCCAGGGACCUGAGCGCGAACAGCUGCCCGUUGUCCGCGUUGAUGGACACCAGGGAGGCCAGGGGCAGCUGCGGGUCCGCGGGCGGCAGCAGCGAGUAGGUGACCUGGGCGUUGGCGCCCGAGUCCCUGUCCGUGGCGCUCACGCUGCCGAUGUGCAGGGCGGGGCUGUUGUUCUCGCGGACGCGCAGGGUGUAGGUGGUUUGGCUGAAGGCGGGGGCGUUGUCGUUGACGUCGGAGACCGUCACGGUUAUGUUGUGCUGCGUUUUCAGCCUGGGGGUCCCCAAGUCGGUGACGGUGAUGGUGAUGUUGUACUCGGCCUGGCUCUCUCUGUCCAGGGGUCUCUCUGUUACCAGGGUGUAGAAAUUCUGUACUGAAGGCUUCAGGACGAAGGGGAGAUGGUCUUGGAUGGAGCACACCAUCUUUGCAUUGUUCCCUGAAUCUCUGUCUCUAAUCCUAAAAACAGCUACUACUGUCUCAGGUGAGUUUUCUGCAAUUGGGCUAGUAAGUGAUGACAUAAGCAGUUCCGGUGGAUUAUCAUUUAUAUCUGUUACAUGGACCACCACUGUACAUUUUCCAGAAAGCCCUCCGCCAUCUUUGGCCUGAAUAGUUAAUGUAUAAGUUUGUAUUGCCUCGUAGUUCAAUUCGGCUUUAAGAUAAAGCUUGCCAGAUGUUGAAUUGAUUCGAAAUGUUUUGAGAAUUACUUCAGUGGCAUAAAAAAAUGCAUAGACUAUUUCUCCAUUAGUUCCGGUAUCUAAAUCUCUAGCUGACACAGCGACAACCAGGGAGCCAACAGGGCUGUCUUCAGUCACCUGCACCUUGUAGAGGGACUGUGCAAAUUCAGGGAUGUUAUCAUUUAUGUCCAAAACCAGGAUGCGUAUGAGGGCAGUCCCGGAUCUGGGCGGAGACCCGCCAUCCAAGGCUGUGAGGGUUAAAUUGAGCUCAGAAACCUUUUCACGAUCCAGCACUGCAUCCAGGACCAAUUCAGGAUAAACAUUUCCCUCCCCACUAUCACGGACAUUAAUAUGGAAAUAGGCAUUGGAGCUGAUGGUGUAGUUUCUCAGGUUGUUGAUUCCAACAUCUGAAUCCUGUGCACUUUCUAGGAGAAAUGUUGCCCCUGGAGUGGUACUUUCUAAUAUUUUCAAGGUAGUCUCUCUAUCUAGAAAUACUGGAGAAUGAUCGUUGAUGUCUCUGACCCAUAGUUCAGCACGGAAAAUCUGAAAAGGCUUUUCAAGUAACAACUGGAAAGGUAGCACACACGGCUCUCUGGGCCCACACAGUUCCUCUCGGUCUAAUUUCUCAUUUAGAAGUAAAUCACCAGUAAGCGGCUUGAAUAGUAAAAAUCGUAUGUUCUCAUCUGAAAUGACUCUAGAUCCCCGAGCUGACAGUUCCCCCACCCCCAACCCCAGAUCAUUUGCUAGGUUGGCCAGAAAGGUCUCUCUCUCCGUUUCCUCCGCCACAAAAUACCGAAGCGGUUCUGUGCUAGCCCAAGACAUUCCCAGAAAUACACAAAGAAAAAACACUUGCCUUUUCUGCACUUCAGGCAUCACUCUGGCCUCCAUUCUUCGUUUAAACAAUCUUUCAAAAC
rnacentral:lncRNA from 1 species